rnacentral:tRNA from 1 species
AGCCCUGUGACCGAGAGGACAGGUAAAGGACUGCAAAUCCUUCUACGUCGGUUCGAGUCCGACCGGGGCGUCAA